rnacentral:rRNA from 1 species
GACGAACGCUGGCGGCGUGCUUAACACAUGCAAGUCGAACGGAAAGGCCCUGCUUUUGUGGGGUGCUCGAGUGGCGAACGGGUGAGUAACCCGUGAGUAACCUGCCCUUGACUUUGGUUUAACUUAAUAAAACUGGGUCAAGUACGGCCAAGGAUUUCUUGCCUCAUGGUGGGGGCUGGAAGGUUUCGGCGGUUGGGGAUGGACUGGCGGCUUAACAGCUUGUUGGUGGGGUGGUGGCUUACCAUGACUUGCCGGGGUAGCAGGCCUGGACGGGUGGCCGGCCACAUUGGGACUGAGAUACGGCACAGACUCCUACGGGAGGCAGCAGUGGGGAAUAUUGCACAAUGGGCGGAAGCCUGAUGCAGCAACGCCGCGUGCGGGAUGACGGCCUUCGGGUUGUAUACCGCUUUCGCCUGUGACGAAGCGUGAGUGACGGUAAUGGGUAAAGAAGCACCGGCUAACUACGUG